rnacentral:rRNA from 1 species
AUUCUAGAGCUAAUACAUGCUGUUAAGCCUGACUUACGAAGGGCUGUAUUUAUUAGAUAACAGACCAAUAUUCCUCGUGUCUAUUGUGGUGAAUCAUAGUAACUGAUCGGAUCGCAUGGGCUUGCCCGCGACAAACCAUUCAAGUUUCUGCCCCAUCAGCUUUCGAUGGUAGUGUAUUGGACUACCAUGGCUUUUACGGGUAACGGAGGAUUAGGGUUCGAUUCCGGAGAGGGAGCCUGAGAAACGGCUACCACAUCUAAGGAAGGCAGCAGGCGCGUAAAUUACCCAAUCCUAAUUCAGGGAGGUAGUG